rnacentral:rRNA from 1 species
AGUCUUUUUAGAGGAAUCUGUCCUAUAAUUGAUAGUCCACGAGUUAAAAUACUUAUUUUUUUAAUUUACAUAUCGCCGUAGUUUGGAUGUCUUUUUAGAGAGUGAAUGUUCAAAAUUUGUAUUUAAAAUAAAUCAGGUCAAGAUGUAGUUUAUAGAUAAGAAGAGAUGGAUUACAAUAAAUUUAUUUAAAUGGAAAAAAUAUUUUAAUUAUGUUUUUGAAGGUGGAUUUAAUAGUAAUUUUUAUAAAAUUAUAAAAAUGAAUUAGCUCUAUGAUAUGUACAUAUUGCCCGUCGCUUUCAUUAAUAAGGUGGAAUAAGUCGUAACAAAGUAGAGGUACUGGAAAGUGUCUCUGGUUAUUC